UAAUUCAGGCUGCAUCCAGAACUACUCUUU
rnacentral:piRNA from 1 species